GGAGUGAAGCUGCUGUGUGGUUUUCUGGAGAGUCCACACUGUAGACUGGAGACUCUGAGAUUGAGUUCCUGCUUAUUGUCAGAGAUCAGCUGUGCUUCUCUGGCCUCAGCUCUGAAGUCCAACCCCUCCCAUCUGGGACACCUGGAGCUGAGCUUCAACAAGCUGCAGGAUUCAGGAGUGAAGCUGCUGUGUGGUUUUCUGGAGAGUCCACACUGUGGACUGGAGACUCUGAGGUUGAGUUACUGCAGUUUGUCAGAGAUCAGCUGUGCUUCUCUGGCCUCAGCU